GUCCACGCCUAACGAUGACGACUGGAUGUCGGAAGGUCUGCCUUUCGGUGUCGUAGCUAACGCGUUAAGUCGUCCGCCUGGGGAGUACGGCCGCAAGGUUGAACUCAAAGGAAUUGACGGGACCCGCACAAGCGGUGGAGCAUGUGGUUCAAUUCGAUGCAACGCGAAGAACCUUACCUGGCCUUGACAUCCGCGGAACUUGGCAGAAAUGCCUUGGUGCCUUCGGGAAUCGCGAGACAGGUGCUGCAUGGCUGUCGU
rnacentral:rRNA from 1 species